UCAUCUAUCCAAUUCAAGCUCACUCUUCCUUUUUCUUGGGUUUGGUUGCGCUCCCUGGUUGGUCUUGUCAGUCUGGGAUGCUAUAGGCCUAGAACUUUUGGAUCAGUUCCAGUUUAGUUGCUGCUUGCCUGGCGCUGCUUUUCUACAGCUUCCACACGUACCCCACCCAUUUUUUUAGUCGACACGUGUAGCCCCGUUUCGGCUGUCCCGGUACAGCAGUGAGUCGACGUGUAGCCGCGUGUCGGCUGUCCCGGUACGGCAGUGAGUCGACGUGUAGCCGCGUGUCGGCUGUCCCGGCUCCAGCAUCCCUGUGAACACAGACAAGCCUGUCCAGAAUAAGCUGUUGGAGAGAGGAUAAAUGGAUGACUGUGGAUGGGACUCUCAGUCUGUCUGCAUUGGAGGGUAUACCAUGGAGAUCAAAGAGGCCAGUAUUCAACUCACCUAUGGAUUUUGCUGAGGGCAAUGAUGCAGACUGCUGUCUGGGUCCCUCUUACUCCUGGGAUUUUGGGAAGAAAGCAGAGCAUGAUGGCGCAUGCAGGGCUAAGGCCGGAUGUGCUGAAGGUGGAUGGCAACAGUGCUGCCCCCUGAGCUGCUACUCUGCUUGAGGAUGUUAUUGCUGUCUAAUCAAAUAAGGACAACAGAUUUUAAUUAACAGCACUGCAGCCUCCUGGAUAAGCCUGAUUAGUUUUACAUUAUCAACAGUGAACUGAACAGUGGCCAAUAUUGUGAGAUGAGUGAUUUUGGCAUUUUUCAAUAACAUUAUGUGCUCACUUGUAAUAGGGGGGGGGGGCUUGUUUAAAAGGGAGAUGCUACAUAAAAACUCAUCAAACCUCUAGAGUAUGGUGAUGCUGAGCAAGGGGUGUGUGGUUGGUGUAAAGUUACAAACAGAAAAAACAUA